GAACGAGUGGCGGACGGGUGAGUAACACGUGGGUAACCUGCCCUUAAGUGGGGGAUAACAUUUGGAAACAGAUGCUAAUACCGCAUAGAUCCAAGAACCGCAUGGUUCUUGGCUGAAAGAUGGCGUAAGCUAUCGCUUUUGGAUGGACCCGCGGCGUAUUAGCUAGUUGGUGAGGUAAUGGCUCACCAAGGCGAUGAUACGUAGCCGAACUGAGAGGUUGAUCGGCCACAUUGGGACUGAGACACGGCCCAAACUCCUACGGGAGGCAGCAGUAGGGAAUCUUCCACAAUGGACGCAAGUCUGAUGGAGCAACGCCGCGUGAGUGAAGAAGGCUUUCGGGUCGUAAAACUCUGUUGUUGGAGAAGAAUGGUCGGCAGAGUAACUGUUGUCGGCGUGACGGUAUCCAACCAGAAAGCCACGGCUAACUACGUGCCAGCAGCCGCGGUAAUACGUAGGUGGCAAGCGUUAUCCGGAUUUAUUGGGCGUAAAGCGAGCGCAGGCGGUUUUUUAAGUCUGAUGUGAAAGCCCUCGGCUUAACCGAGGAAGCGCAUCGGAAACUGGGAAACUUGAGUGCAGAAGAGGACAGUGGAACUCCAUGUGUAGCGGUGAAAUGCGUAGAUAUAUGGAAGAACACCAGUGGCGAAGGCGGCUGUCUGGUCUGUAACUGACGCUGAGGCUCGAAAGCAUGGGUAGCGAACAGGAUUAGAUACCCUGGUAGUCCAUGCCGUAAACGAUGAAUGCUAGGUGUUGGAGGGUUUCCGCCCUUCAGUGCCGCAGCUAACGCAUUAAGCAUUCCGCCUGGGGAGUACGACCGCAAGGUUGAAACUCAAAGGAAUUGACGGGGGCCCGCACAAGCGGUGGAG
rnacentral:rRNA from 1 species